GCACCACCAGGGCGAGGUCCAGUAGGCCUAUCCUCCCUGCGCCUGAACCUCUCCGGCGGCCUGCGGUCCCUGCGGUUCUCGCGGGAGCGGACACGGACGAUGUGGGCGUGGAUGGCGCAGGAGACGCAGUGAUGGACCUUGGCGUACAGCUUCGGGAGGACGUAUCCGUCAUGGACGCACGCCUCCUGGACAUCCCUGAUGGCCGCCU
rnacentral:misc_RNA from 1 species